rnacentral:lncRNA from 1 species
AUGCCUACAUUAAAUGCAAUGUCUCAAGCAAGGACUUCCUUUGAAAAUCUUCUACAAAUUCUUUGCAGGUUAUAUGUGACCUUUUGUAGUCUUCUGGGAACCCCUGGCUCAGAACAUGUGGAAAUAUAUAAUAAUGACCACUUUGUGGCUCUUGGUGCACAUAUGGCUCACAAGCAAAUGAAUUGUGGCUCUCGGACUUUGCCUAUGAAUUUUCCAGGAGUUCACUUGUCCUUCAGGAUCAAAGCAGCCAGGUGUCAGCCAGCAGCUACCUUAACUGCAGAGGCAGAAGAAAUGCUGAAAUGCAUCACAGACACUCUUCCUUCUGACUGUGAGAUGAGCUGUAAUCCUGAGAGUAAGACCGGCUAUGAGGCUGUGGUUCAAAGUCAAGUUAUAAAACCCAGAAACAUAUUCCAUUCCCAGCGUGACACUAAUGGAAUAUCUCAGUGA